rnacentral:rRNA from 1 species
UAGUAACUUCAGGAAACUGGGGCUAAUACCGGAUAGGAGCUCCUGCUGCAUGGUGGGGGUUGGAAAGUUUCGGCGGUUGGGGAUGGACUCGCGGCUUAUCAGCUUGUUGGUGGGGUAGUGGCUUACCAAGGCUUUGACGGGUAGCCGGCCUGAGAGGGUGACCGGCCACAUUGGGACUGAGAUACGGCCCAG